UCCGAGAACUUUUUAGGAGUUCAUGAAGGCACUUGGCGUGGGUAUGAUGCUCCGCAAGCUGGGCUCCAGCUCCAAGCCCACGGUCGAACUCAGCGAAGAAAACGGGUGUGGACAAUGAAAACGAGCACCACCAUGAAGCGACGGAGAUCAAGUUCAAAAUCGGGGAGGAGGUUUCGGAGACAACUUUCGACGGCAGGGAGUGCAAGCUCUCCGAGUGCGAUGGCGUCGUGUCCAAGAGGAUCUACAAGCGCCAGUGAGUCUGCU